UACAGAGGUCCCAAGCGUUGUUCGGAUUCAUUGGGCGUAAAGGGUGCGUAGGCGGCGGAGCAAGUCUGAUGUGAAAUCCCGGGGCUCAACCCCGGAACUGCAUUGGAUACUGCCUUGCUCGAGUACUGGAGAGGGAACUGGAAUUUACGGUGUAGCAGUGAAAUGCGUAGAGAUCGUAAGGAAGGCCAGUGGCGAAGGCGAGUUCCUGGACAGUUACUGACGCUGAGGCACGAAGGCCAGGGGAGAAAACGGG
rnacentral:rRNA from 1 species